rnacentral:rRNA from 1 species
UACGUAGGAGGCGAGCGUUGUCCGGAAUUACUGGGCGUAAAGCGCGUGUAGGCGGUCUGAAUAGUCUGCUGUGAAAGCGCCUGGCUUAACCGGGCGAGGUCGGCGGAAACUCUCAGACUGGAGGCCGGUAGAGGGGGGUGGAAUUCCCGGUGUAGUGGUGAAAUGCGUAGAGAUCGGGAGGAACACCUGUGGCGAAGGCGGCCCCCUGGGCCGCGCCUGACGCUGAGACGCGAAGGCGUGGGGAGCGAACGGG